ensembl:lncRNA
CGAACACACUUUCUGCAUUCUUUCAUAGAACAUGUCGGUGAAGCCACAUCACUGCACGGUAUCUCAGCACACAGUUGCCAUGGCAAAGAAGUCCUUCUGGUCUCCAAGUAUUUGAAGAAACAUCUGAAACAUAGCUGAGAACUCCUGAGCAGAGCAGCCUAAGCAUAAGGAAUGGCAGAGGACUCUGGAGGAAAAACUGAAGAAUGGGAUGCACAUGCAGGAGAGAAUGAGAGCGAAAGCGAGAGUCAGAGGGAGGUGGGGGAGACUGGAGCCAGUCCAGGGGAAAUCCAGCUCCACAUGGCAGAGCUCAGCCUCGGCUACAGUCAAGCAAACACAGGGAAUUUUAUACAGUACACUGUUCAUCAGCAUAAAACAGCUGCCUCAUAG